ACUCAAAGGAAUUGACGGGGGCUCACACAAGCGGUGGAGGAUGUUGCUCAAUUCGAAGCAACGCGAAGAACCUUACCAGGGUUUGACAUGCUGGAAUUAACCCGGUGAAAGCCGGGGGAUUGCCUUCGGGUGUAACCAGUACAGGUGUUGCAUGGCUGUCGUCAGCUCGUGCCUUGAGGUGUUGGGUUAAGUCCCCUAACGAGCGAAACCCCUAUCGUUAGUUGCCAUCGGGUCAUGCCGGGCACUCUAGCGAGACUGCCGGUGUCAAACCGGAGGAAGGUGGGGACGACGUCAAGUCAUCAUGGCCCUUAUAUCCUGGGCUGCAAACGUCCUACAAUGGCCCGUACAAAGGGAAGCAAAGCCGCGAGGCGGAGCAAAUCCCAAAAAGCAGGCCCUAGUUCGGAUUGCAGGCUGCAAUUCGCCUGCAUGAAGCUGGAAUCGCUAGUAAUCGCGGAUCAGAACGCCGCGGUGAAUAUGUUCCUGAGCCUUGUACACACCGCCCGU
rnacentral:rRNA from 1 species